rnacentral:rRNA from 1 species
AUUGAACGCUGGCGGCAUGCCUUACACAUGCAAGUCGAACGGUAACAGGUCUUCGGAUGCUGACGAGUGGCGAACGGGUGAGUAAUGCAUCGGAACGUGCCCAGUUGUGGGGGAUAACUGCUCGAAAGAGCGGCUAAUACCGCAUACGACCUGAGGGGGAAAGCGGGGGAUCGCAAGACCUCGCGCAAUUGGAGCGGCGGAUGUCAGCUUAGGUGGUUGGGGGGGUAAAGGCCUACCAAGCCGACGAUCUGUAGUUGGUCUGAGAGGACGACCAGCCACACUGGGACUGAGACACGGCCCAGACUCCUACGGGAGGCAGCAGUGGGGAAUUUUGGGCAAUGGGCGCAAGCCUGAUCCAGCAAUGCCGCGUGCAGGAAGAAGGCCUUCGGGUUGUAAACUGCUUUUGUCAGGGAAGAAAUCCUCUGGGUUAAUACCCCGGGGGGAUGACGGUACCUGAAGAAUAAGCACCGGCUAACUACGUGCCAGCCGCCGCGGUAAUAC